rnacentral:rRNA from 1 species
UACGGGGGGGCAAGCGUUGUUCGGAAUUACUGGGCGUAAAGCGCGUGUAGGCGGCUAUGCAAGUCGGACGUGAAAUCCCACGGCUCAACUGUGGAAGUGCGCUCGAAACUGCGUAGCUAGAGUCCUGGAGAGGAAGGUGGAAUGCUUGGUGUAGAGGUGAAAUUCGUAGAUAUCAAGCGGAACACCGGUGGCGAAGGCGGCCUUCUGGACAGUGACUGACGCUGAGACGCGAAAGCGUGGGGAGCAAACAGG